AAGACUAUACUCUCAGGGAUCAUUUCUAUAGUUCUUUACUAGAGAAGUUUCUCUGACUGUGUAGAGCUGUAAUGUAGAUCUGUAAUGUCCCCUCCUGGGCGUGAAGCCAGCUCUAUGUGUUGCUUCAGUGCAGCUGCCUUCACCCAUUGAUGAUCUUUCUUCUGUCCUUCGGGAGGACGAGAGGGAGGGAACACAGUCUGAGUGGA